UACGUAGGGGGCAAGCGUUGUCCGGAAUUAUUGGGCGUAAAGCGCGCGCAGGCGGCCGAUUAAGUCUGGUGUUUAACCCCGGGGCUCAACCCCGGGUCGCACUGGAAACUGGUUGGCUUGAGUACAGAAGAGGAAAGUGGAAUUCCUGGUGUAGCGGUGAAAUGCGCAGAUAUCAGGAAGAACACCCGUGGCUAAGGCGGCUCUCUAGUACGGUACUGACGCUGAGACGCGAAAGCGUGGGGAGCGAACAGG
rnacentral:rRNA from 1 species